UUUUUUUUUUUUUUUUUUUUUCCAGUGUCUUAGCUAGGGGACUGUUUUAAAUGAAGAAUAUAUUGUCAUAUAAAAUUAGCCUGAACCCCUCUUGAGAUCUCAAGAAAGCCUUAUUCAUAUGUGCCAUUUAACUGAGAAGAAACAGGCUUUGCCAUCACCCGGGGUUAUAACACUACCUGUCACAUUUGCUUGAAUCCAGGCCUAGUUGUUUGUAUACUUUGUGGCACUGGUUUUUGUUUAGAUGGCUUUGCAAUGCAGAAAGACUGCCAUGGAGAGUGGCAAAAGCUAUUAGUUCCUUCUGGAUUUCAAAGAGCCUGUUGUUUUAGACUGAAAAUGCUUUCCCUAUGUUUUUGAGUGAAAAAAAAGAAGAUUAAAAAGCAGAUGGCUUCAAAUAUUAUAAAUAGAAAUAGGUCAGUAUUUUGUCUAUCUAUUCCUUCAUUAAAAUACUUCUCUUAUAUUUUUAAACUUAAUCUCAUCUUUCAUGGAGAAAAAUUUUUGAGCUUCUCCAUCCCUAAGGAAGGUGGAAAAAAAUUAUUUCAGUAAAGAAGUCAUUUGAUGCAGUGUCUCUGUGAAAAAUGAUACUCUGUUAUAGCUUUUAAUAUAAAUGGAUUUUGUUAAGUCUCAUAAUUGAACUCCAAGGUACAUACUAGUUAAAAUUGCAAUAUGAAAUAACAUUAUGUACCUAUAAAAUAUAAAAUUAAAUUGUAAAAAUAAAAUGAACAUUUUCCCCCAAAGCUGAACAUUUUAAUAGCCAGAAGAGAAAAGGAAUUACAACUCCAGUUCUAUAGAUCAGUUAAGAUUUUUUGAGAAAUGUUUGCUUCUAUGGGGUUGUGAUGGUAUGUUUUGAAGGUAAAGUAGGACUAUUCAUCAGGAAAAAAAUUGAAUAGCAUUUUUAUGAGCAUAUAAGAAGCCUAUGUUCUGUUGACCCCAUCAUCUAAUUACCCCAUCAGUGAUGGAUGGCCAGCCAAAUUUUGGUCUGUCCAUGAUUAAUGGUACAGCAAUGGGAUGAAUAGCUAAUGGAAUCCCCUGGCUAAGAUUCUAGGUUCCAGACACUUGAUGUAUUAGACUGAAUGAAAACAUGUCUAUUGAGCUCUCUAACAACAUAUAAGGAGGCAGUACUAGAUGCUGCAAAAGAUAUGGAGAUGACAAAAGAUAGCCCCCGCCUCCGACUCUUAGAGAGCUAUAGGAGCUCUGAAGGUGGGAUGAGGUUUUAGAGGAAGAAAAACUGAAAUGAUGUUACAGACAUUAGGAUAGGAUUAUAGGAGUCAAAGAACUUGAAAGAGGGACAGACUUGCCAGACUGAAGUGGAGAAGCAAGGACAAGAACACUGCAGGUAGAUGGAAGAACGCAGAAGAGUCAAUUCCGUACAGGGUUUGAGAACAGACCUCAUAUAAACAGUUUGGUUGAAGAUUUGUUUGUUUCAAAAUUAAAAUCAUUGGUGCUGCUGUUGUGUUUAUGGGUUUGAGAAGUAAUAGAGCUCAGAGCAAACUAAAUUAAAAUAACACAGAAUCUUUUGAUGAAAAACACAGAAGCCCAAGAGCAUUAAUGAAUAAACAUGCCAGUUAGGUUGGGUGGCAAAUCUGGUAUUAAACUUAUGACAUCAAAAGCCACCCUAUAGGUCAAUAUAGUUAGAAAAUAUAAUAAAAAUUGCACUGUGUAAACAGUAUUGAUCGAUAUGAGUCCAACAAUAAGUGUCCAUGGCCUAAGCAGAGAAAAUGAUAAAACAUUAAUGAAGGCUGUUAAGAAAAAUCACAUAAUCAGAGAAAUAUAUAUCCCAUUUCUGAAUGGAAAUAUUCAAUAUUAUUGAGAUCAAAAUGUGUAAAUUUCAUUCAGGUAAGUCAAAAUAUUAAUUAAUAGUUGUAAAUACAGGAGGCCUUGUAAUUUUUAGAAAUUCUAAGGUUUUACUGGGAAAAAGGCCAUGGAGAUUUUGAAAAAAAGGUACUAAUAUGGGAUUACAUGCCUAAGCAGAUAUGAAAAUGAUAUAAAACUAUAGUAGAGAGGAGUGUACGGCAUUAGCAAAACAUCCAUGGAAAUAAUACUGUAAGUCCAAAAAACAUAUAUAUGUAACAUAUAUAUUGGAAAGUAAAAUGAUAUUUCAGAUCAUUAGAAACAUGUAUAUGUUUCUAGUAUUUAUAACAAAGUCACUGUUGGAACAGAGCAAAUUUGUAUGUUUUGGGGAUAAAUUUGGCAAUUUUCUCAUAAUUUAACUGUUCAUAACCUUAUAUACAGAAAUUCCAUAUAAAUAUUGUCAAUUAUUAUUCAGUUGUAGCAUGGCUUAUUUAAAAAGACUGGAAACAAAAUAACCUGGACCAACAGGAGAUUAAAGACAUUAAUGCAUAGCAGUGCUCUGGAACAUUAUACAUUCAUCAAUAAAGAAAAUAUUGGCAAGGAAGAUGUUGACCAUACAUGCAAACUGAAAAAAGCGAAUUGCAGAAUGUUGUGUACAGUAUGGUUUUAAUUGGUCAAAGCUGGUAUCAGAAAAAGCAAGAAUCAAAGACAGUUCAAUAGUAUCAAUUUAACUUUAGAUGACCAGGAAAAGAAAGAAGGGAAUAGGAAUGAGGGGUUGGUUUGAUGGAGAUGGUGAAUAUUUUUUUUUUUUGGUCUUUUGUCUUUUUUUCUAGGGCGACAUCCAUGGUAUAUGGAGGUUCCUGGGCUAAGGAUCGAAGUGGAGCUAUAGCCGCUGGCCUACAUCACAGCCACAGCAACACGUGACCCCAGCCAUGUCUAUGACCUACAGCAAAGCUCAUGGCAACACCGGAUCCUUAACCCACUGAGCGAGGAGGAAAACUGACCUAAGAGAGCCUAGAGAGGGUCAGCCACGCUCAUUCUAUGAGAAGAGAAGCCCACUGGAAGCAAACCUGACCAAAGGAGGCUGACACUGGAGGUACCGAUCACCUCCGAGGGGCAAUCUAGAGAAAUGAGCGAUAGAAGACAAUUGCAAGGCAGUGGGUGACAGUGCCCCUAUUAUCUAUAUGACUUAUAGCCCCACUUGCUCUGAAACCAUUCUAAUUAUUCAUCAGCGAGGCAUCAGCAAUGGAUUGGAAUUUAAAAAAAAAUGAAACAGCAAUGACAGUAAAAUUAUUCCUGGUGACUGAACUUACAUAAAGAAGCACCUGUAGGCCUACCUAUAAAAUUUUCCAAUUUGUUCAGCAGACACUUCAAUAUACCACUUAGCAGGGUAAAAUGCUUUCCAUUCUUAAGGUACCCAGUUGGAUGGAGCUGAGAAAUGGAGAAGGAGGCAGGGGAUGACGAUAUUUUAAAUUGCGUCGCAGGGGCUAUAUUUACUUUUUCUCUCUAGUAAAGAACAUAAAUGAAAUGAGACACAUUUCUCUAAUCUAGCUUGAAACCUUUGCUUUCCUUUUCCACCUAAAGCCAAUUGACUUAAAAAAAAAUGGAUUUGCUUUAGAUUGCCUUCAAAAUAAUCUAUUUCAAAAUAAAAUUUGAUAGUGAAAUUAAUGUGACUGCAAAAAAAAAAAAAAGCAGGGAGAUUGUGACUAUGAAAGAGAUUAAGGAGGUUCGGAGAAAUUUCCUUAGUUGAACAAAAGGAGUGACUAAAACAAGUAUGAUUUAACGCACCAGGGAAAUGAAUUGUCCGUCCCCUCAGAGUUGGUACCUAAUGCCUGGCUGUGUGGGGGCCUUUCCCUGAGAAGCCAAGUAAAAUGAUAAGACCCUCCUCAUAACAGGGUGAUUUGGCAACAGGAGAGUCUGGACAUGGCAAAGUUAUCUUCGCCUUUGUGUUCUGACAGGAGCAAUGUCUCUGUCACCAUUUUAUUAAACACGUGUGUCCAUCUAACCAAAGUUCAUGAAACAACAUAUCCUGAAUACAGAAUGUUCAACAUACUGCUAUUGAUAAGGAAACCAUUCACACCAUCCAUGGGAUAAGUUCUACUCAGUACUUUCAUUUAAAUUGUUCACAUUUAUUAGCAAGUACGUUUUUCCCCAGAUAAUCCCAAACAGGCAAUCAAAAACUGGGGAACGGGAUUUAGGAAGGAGCAUUACCACCUACCUUCCACAUAUUUUUAGCAUUUGACCAGUAUUGCCUCCUCCUUUCUUGUCAGGUCAGAAAGAUGGUAAAGAUAAUAAUAACAAGACAGUAAAAAUGUCUUUUGUGAUCACCCAGUUAAAUCUUUCCAUCUUAUGGAUGAAGAAACUGAGUCUCUGAGGGGUGACCUGCCUGGAGUCAAAGAGCUUGUUAGGAGAAGCAGCAGAACUAAGCUUCUAUCACAUUACUCUCAGGCCUCACUCCUUAUAUCCAUGAUGCAUUCAACAAGGACCUGGCUCAUUCAUGGUUAAUGGGACAUAGUUACGGCUUUAAAAUGCUUAGAGGUUAACUCUUUGUGAAGGUUUGGGAUGUUUGAGCAAAGGGGGACAGAGCAAUAAAAAAUUAACUAACUAACUAACUAACUAACCAACUAGCUAACUAGCUUAAAAUCUGACAGGGAAGACAGACCCUACUAACCACGUCCAUUUUCUUCCACCACUGCUUUACCUUCUCCUCUGCUUUACCUUUAUUAAUGUCUCCACUGUGCCUGCAGCCUCCUCAGACCACUGCUGCAUCUCCACUGCCCACUAAAUAUCAGCCACAUAGUCACACACCAUAGUGGUGGGUCGUGGCUAUUCAUAGAUAAGAAAUAGGUGUCACUUAACCAUCUUAACCAGAAGACCACUUCUCAAGGACCAAAGGUGCUCACUGUUUUUGGCCUUCCCCAUAUCAAUUUGUAACUGCUUAUGCACGGCUUUAUAAAUUAUCUAUACAUAUAUCCUUGAGGAGAAAAUAAGAUUUUUCAAGCAGCAGGACUACGAUGACCCAACACGUGUCAUCCAUUUUUCUCACAAGUCAGCAUACUGCAGUUCAGUAAGGGAUCCGCAUGCCCCUUCACAAAUUCUGCCCGCAGUUUUAGACUAUGGUGGUUUAGCAAUUUCCAGUAAAAACGUCUUCCUAUAUUCCUUUCUCAAGGAGAAUUAGAGGUUUAACUGCUAGAGCUGCCUGAAACUGUUCACCUGGACUUCAGGACUUUCAUCUAUAAACGGGGAGUACACUUACCCAGUUUUAAGAUGCCUUCCUGUUCUAACACAUAAUGAAUGGGCCCACGUCAACAUCUUGAUUCUUGAGGAUGAGAUCAGAAAAGGUAAUGCCAACAUUUUCUUAAAAAAACGACACUGAGUGCUACUGUGGGAGGGAGGAAACUCAGCUUUAAAAUCUCUGCUACUUACAUCAUAAUUUAUAUGUUAUUAAAAAAAAAAAAAAACCUGUGUAGUGGUUUCCCCACGUAAGAUUUUCUUGUCACCUAGGUCAUAAUGGAUUGAUUUUUAUUUCUCCAUCCUUGAUCAGAGAGGCUGGGUGGGAGUAAGCAUCACUUCCAUUCCGAUGGGCUGACUGACCACGUGCAACUAACUAGCCACCAAGAAUGUCUUUCCUGUUGACAUGAAGGUGGUACCUGCAGAUAUUAUGGGUGAAUAUAUUGGAGAAACACCUUGUGAUACUUUUAUGAUCCUUUGAUGGGUAUUGCCAUUAUUUGUUAUACUUUUAGCCUUGCCUUGGAAUUAUAGGCAUUUUCAUGCUACAGCUGAUUUUUCAAAUUCUAUAAAGAUGCCCCAUUUCAAUUUUCUUGUCUGUAGAAAUCAAAACAUCAGAAAAAGUUCCCACUGUGGCUCAGCAGUAACAAGCCUGACUAGUAUCCCUGAGGAUGCAGGUUUGAUCACUGCCUCGCCCAGUGGGUUAAGGAUCUGGCGUUGUUUUAAGUGAGCUGUCGGGUAGGUCACAGAUAUGGCUUGGAUCCGAGGUUUUGUGCCUGUGGUGUAGGCUGGCAGCUUUAACUCCGAUUGGACCCCUAGUCAGGGAAUUUCCAUAUGUCAUAAGCAUGGCCCCAAAAAGAGGGAAAAAAAAGAACAACAAAAUAUACUCUCUAGGAAGCAGGAUAUGCAUAGCUUUUAGAAUUGAAUGUAAACAUCUGUAGCUGGACAUAAGGUUCCUCUCCUGAACAGUGCGUGCCUUCGACUUUCUGUGCCUUAAUCAUGAAUUCACAGGAGAAGGCUGACUUUAUAAGUCAAUCCAUGAGUUUUUAUAUAUCAGAAUGAAAUUAUCAGUACAUUACACAGUCCUCUCAAGGACUCUUUGAUCACAUAUAUUCUCAGCUAGUUGAGGUGUGAGAGUUUCUCAAAAUCCCUGCACUGCCAUCCAGUCUACCACUAGAGUUCUGGAAUGCAGCCAUUGUGCCAGCAGCAAAGCAGUGUUUGCUGCACCAGAGCUCUGCCGAGCCAAGCAUGUGUAGGGGAUGGAUGUCAGUAUCCAUUAUCCAUACAAUUGCUUGGGUUCCUGCUGACAGCCUCAUGCCAACAUGCUCAGCUC
rnacentral:lncRNA from 1 species